CACAUGGUGGGCCUUGCAAAAUGCCCCCUGCUUGGGCUUGGGCCCUAAAAGUUGUGAAAAAUCUUAUUAGUAUUAGCCCACUUACAUAUGUGCCUAUCAUUUCUCUUCUAUACAAAUUAGGUCUGUAUACAAUAAAAGUGAUGCCUUGCUGCUUCUAUUUUCUAUUCUGUCUUCUUUCCUUUCUUGUGAUUCUUGAAUCUUCUCCAUGCCUUAUAUCUGGUAAGCACACGUCCAAUCCUGUAGCUAUUAUUCCUUCCUUCUACACAAAAUCACAGGAUGAUAAUUUUUAUAUCUGUUUCUUGCUUGGGAAUUAUACUUAUGAUGGCUAUGCAGGUUAGAGGUGAAAUUCUUGGAUUUAUGAAAGACGAACAACUGCGAAAGCAUUUACUAAGGAUGUUUUCAUUAAUCAAGAACGAAAGUUGGGGGCUCGAAGACGAUCAGUUACCGUCCUAGUCUCAACCAUAAACGAUGCUGACUAGGGAUCGGCGUAUGUUGCUUUUAGGACUCUGCCGACACCUUAUGAGAAAUCAAAGUCUUCGGGUUCCGGGAGGUGUAUGGUCGCAAGGCUGAAACUUAAAGGAAUUGACAGAAGGGCACCACCAGGAGUGGAGCCUGCGGCUUAAUUUAACUCAACAUGGGGAAACUUACUAGGUCCAGACAUAGUAAGGAUUGACAGACUGAGAGCUCUUUCUUGAUUCUAUGGGUGGUGAGGCAUGGCCGUUCUUAGUUGGUAAAGUGAUUUGUCUAGUUAAUUACGUUAACGAACGAGACCUCAGCCUGCUAACUAGCUAUGCAGAGGUAUCGCUCCGCGGCUAGCUUCUUAAAGGGACUAUGGCCUUCUAGGCCAAGGAAGUUUGAGGCAAUAACAGGUGUGUGACGCCCUUAGAUGUUCUAGGCCGCACACGCACUACACUGAUGUAUUCAAUGAGUCUAUAGCCUUGGUCGACAGGCCCGGGUAAUUUUUAAAAUUUCACCAUGAUGGGGAUAGACCAUUACAAUUAUUAGUCUUCAAUGAGGAAUUCCUAGUAAAGGCGAGUCAUCAGCUCGUGUUGACUAUGUCCCUGCCCUUUGUACACACCGCCCGUCCUCCUACCGGUUGAAUGGUCCGGUGAAGUGUUCGGAUCGCGGCCAUAUGGGUGGUUCGCCGCCGGCGACGUCGUUAGAAGUCCACUGAACCUUAUCAUUUAUAGGAAGGAGAAGUCGUAACAAGGUUUCCAUAGGUGAACCUGCGGAAGGAUCAUUG
rnacentral:ncRNA from 1 species